GUGUCAGCAGCCGCGGUAAUACGAAGGUGGCAAGCGUUACUCGGAAUUACUAGGCGUAAAGGGCAGGUAGGUGGUUUGAUAAGUCUGUUGUGUAAGCUCCCGGCUUAACCGGGAGAGGUCAACGGAUACUGUCAGACUUGAGUAUAGGAGAGGAUGCUGGAAUUCCCGGUGUAGCGGUGAAAUGCGCAGAUAUCGGGAGGAACACCAAUGGCGAAAGCAGGCAUCUGGACUAUUACUGACGCUAAGCUGCGAAAGCUAGGGGAGCAAACAGGAUUAGAAACCCUCGUAGUCC
rnacentral:rRNA from 1 species